rnacentral:rRNA from 1 species
GACGAACGCUGGCGGCGUGCUUAACGCAUGCAAGUCGAACGGUAAGGCCCUUCGGGGUACACGAGUGGCGAACGGGUGAGUAACACGUGGGUGAUCUGCCCUGCACUUCGGGAUAAGCCUGGGAAACUGGGUCUAAUACCGGAUAGGACCACUGCCUGCAUGGGUGGUGGUGGAAAGCUUUUGCGGUGUGGGAUGGGCCCGCGGCCUAUCAGCUUGUUGGUGGGGUGAUGGCCUACCAAGGCGACGACGGGUAGCCGGCCUGAGAGGGUGACCGGCCACACUGGGACUGAGAUGCGGCCCAGACUCCUACGGGAGGCAGCAGUGGGGAAUAUUGCACAAUGGGCGCAAGCCUGAUGCAGCGACGCCGCGUGAGGGAUGACGGCCUUCGGGUUGUAAACCUCUUUCAGCACCGACGAAGCGCAAGUGACGGUAGGUGCAGAAGAAGGACCGGCCAACUACGUGCCAGCCGCCGCAGUAA